AUGAACGCUAGCUACAGGCUUAACACAUGCAAGUCGAGGGGCAGCAUGGUCUUAGCUUGCUAAGACUGAUGGCGACCGGCGCACGGGUGAGUAACACGUAUCCAACCUGCCGUCUACUCUUGGACAGCCUUCUGAAAGGAAGAUUAAUACAAGAUGGCAUCAUGAGUCCGCAUGUUCACAUGAUUAAAGGUAUUCCGGUAGACGAUGGGGAUGCGUUCCAUUAGAUAGUAGGCGGGGUAACGGCCCACCUAGUCUUCGAUGGAUAGGGGUUCUGAGAGGAAGGUCCCCCACAUUGGAACUGAGACACGGUCCAAACUCCUACGGGAGGCAGCAGUGAGGAAUAUUGGUCAAUGGGCGAGAGCCUGAACCAGCCAAGUAGCGUGAAGGAUGACUGCCCUAUGGGUUGUAAACUUCUUUUAUAAAGGAAUAAAGUCGGGUAUGUAUACCCGUUUGCAUGUACUUUAUGAAUAAGGAUCGGCUAACUCCGUGCCAGCAGCCGCGGUAAUACGGAGGAUCCGAGCGUUAUCCGGAUUUAUUGGGUUUAAAGGGAGCGUAGGCGGACGCUUAAGUCAGUUGUGAAAGUUUGCGGCUCAACCGUAAAAUUGCAGUUGAUACUGGAUAUCUUGAGUGCAGUUGAGGCAGGCGGAAUUCGUGGUGUAGCGGUGAAAUGCUUAGAUAUCACGAAGAACUCCGAUUGCGAAGGCAGCCUGCUAAGCUGCAACUGACAUUGAGGCUCGAAAGUGUGGGUAUCAAACAGGAUUAGAUACCCUGGUAGUCCACACGGUAAACGAUGAAUACUCGCUGUUUGCGAUAUACGGCAAGCGGCCAAGCGAAAGCGUUAAGUAUUCCACCUGGGGAGUACGCCGGCAACGGUGAAACUCAAAGGAAUUGACGGGGGCCCGCACAAGCGGUGGAGUAUGUGGUUUAAUUCGACGCAACGCGAAGAACCUUACCAGGUCUUGACAUUGAUCGCGAUCUGCAGAAAUGCGGAGUUCUUCUUCGGAAGACGAGAAAACAGGUGGUGCACGGCUGUCGUCAGCUCGUGUCGUGAGAUGUUGGGUUAAGUCCCGCAACGAGCGCAACCCCUGUGAUUAGUUGCCAGCGAGUAAUGUCGGGAACUCUAAUCAAACUGCCGGUGAUAAAUCGGAGGAAGGUGGGGACGACGUCAAAUCAUCAUGCCCUUUAUGACUUGGGCUACACACGUACUACAAUGGCGUUAAACAAAGAGAAGCAAGACCGCGAGGUGGAGCAAACCCCUAAAAGCCGUCCCAGUUCGGAUUGCAGGCUGCAACCCGCCUGUAUGAAGUUGGAAUCGCUAGUAAUCGCGGAUCAGCAUGCCGCGGUGAAUACGUUCCCGGGCCUUGUACACACCGCCCGUCACACCAUGAGAGCCGGGGGGACCCGAAGUCGGUAGUCUAACCGCAAGGAGGACGCCGCCGAAGGUAAAACUGGUGAUUGGGGUG
rnacentral:rRNA from 1 species